AGGACGAACGCUGGCGGCGUGCUUAACACAUGCAAGUCGAGCGAGGUCCUGCCUUCGGGUGGGUGUCCUAGCGGCGAACGGGUGAGUAACACGUGGGCAACCUGCCCUCAGCUCUGGGAUAACUCCAAGAAAUUGGGGCUAAUACCGGAUAUGACCGCUGACCGCAUGGUCUGGUGGUGGAAAGAUUUAUCGGCUGGGGGAUGGGCCCGCGGCCUAUCAGCUUGUUGGUGGGGUAGUGGCCUACCAAGGCGACGACGGGUAGCCGGCCUGAGAGGGUGACCGGCCACACUGGGACUGAGACACGGCCCAGACUCCUACGGGAGGCAGCAGUGGGGAAUAUUGCGCAAUGGGCGAAAGCCUGACGCAGCGACGCCGCGUGGGAUGACGGCUCGGUUGUAACCUCUUCAGUAGGACGAAGCGCAAGUGACGGUACCUACGAGAAGAAGCGACCGCCAACUACGUGCCAGCAGCCGC
rnacentral:rRNA from 1 species